CAUAUCAAUAAGCGGAGGAAAAGAAACCAACAGGGAUUGCCCCAGUAACGGCGAGUGAAGCGGCAACAGCUCAAAUUUGAAAUCUGGCCCCCCCGCGGGCCCGAGUUGUAAUUUGCAGAGGAUGCUUUUGGCGCGGCGCCUUCCGAGUGCCCUGGAACGGGACGCCAUAGAGGGUGAGAGCCCCGUCUGGUCGGACGCCCAGCCUCUGUAAAGCUCCUUCGACGAGUCGAGUAGUUUGGGAAUGCUGCUCUAAACGGGAGGUAUAUGUCUUCUAAAGCUAAAUACUGGCCAGAGACCGAUAGCGCACAAGUAGAGUGAUCGAAAGAUGAAAAGCACUUUGAAAAGAGGGUUAAACAGUACGUGAAAUUGUUGAAAGGGAAGCGCUUGUGACCAGACUCGGGCGCGGCGAAUCACCCGGCGUUCUCGCCGGUGCACUUCGACGCGCCCGGGCCAGCAUCAGCUCGCCGCGGGGGACAAAGGCGCCGGGAACGUGGCUCCCCAGGGAGUGUUAUAGCCCGGCGCGCAACGCCCCGCGGCGGACUGAGGUUCGCGCGUCCGCAAGGAUGCUGGCGUAAUGGUCACCAGUGACCCGUCUUGAAACACGGACCAAGGAGUCGUCCUCGUAUGCGAGUGUUCGGGUGUCAAACCCCUACGCGCAAUGAAAGUGAACGCGGGUGAGAGCCUCGCGGCGCAUCAUCGACCGAUCCUGAUGUUCUCGGAUGGAUUUGAGUAGGAGCAUACGGGGCCGGACCCGAAAGAAGGUGAACUAUGCCUGUGUAGGGUGAAGCCAGAGGAAACUCUGGUGGAGGCUCGCAGCGGUUCUGACGUGCAAAUCGAUCGUCAAACAUGGGCAUGGGGGCGAAAGACUAAUCGAACCUUCUAGUAGCUGGUUUCCGCCGAAGUUUCCCUCAGGAUAGCAGUGUUGAUCUCAGUUUUAUGAGGUAAAGCGAAUGAUUAGGGACCCGGGGGCGCUCUUCAGCCUUCAUCCAUUCUCAAACUUUAAAUAUGUAAGAAGCCCUUGUUGCUUGGUUGAACGUGGGCAUUCGAAUGUAUCGACACUAGUGGGCCAUUUUUGGUAAGCAGAACUGGCGAUGCGGGAUGAACCGAACGCGAGGUUAAGGUGCCGGAGUGGACGCUCAUCAGACACCACAAAAGGCGUUAGUACAUCUUGACAGCAGGACGGUGGCCAUGGAAGUCGGAACCCGCCAAGGACUGUGUAACAACUCACCUGCCGAAUGUACUAGCCCUGAAAAUGGAUGGCGCUCAAGCGUCCCACCCAUACCUCGCCCUCAGGGUAGAAACGAUGCCCUGAGGAGUAGGCGGACGUGGGGGUCCGUGACGAAGCCCAGGGCGCGAGCCCGGGUCGAACGGCCUCUAGUGCAGAUCUUGGUGGUAGUAGCAAAUACUUCAAUGAGAACUUGAAGGACC
rnacentral:rRNA from 1 species